AUGAAGGAAGGAGGCGGGGGGGGCGCAUCCACGCACACCCCCUCUCCCCCCAUUUGGCGCACCCCCUGCUCCCGGGAACGUGCAGCCCCCGCGCCCCGCCCGGCCCUGUCAGCGCAGCGGCGGCUCCGCGACCCCCGACGGGGCUCCCGCCGCGCCCCGCACGACUCCCCUCGUCCUCCCCCACGCGUGUGCGGAGCGUGCAGGGACACACUCACCUCACCACUGAGGGUCCCUCUUUUCCUUUAUCCCCCUUCUUUUCCUAUCCCUUCCCCCCCCGCAAAAGAAACCUCAAAAACCCCCAAAAAACAACCCCCAAAAAGCCCAAUAAUUUGCAUACCGUUUGUCACCCUCGCUCAGUAUUCCCCCCCACCCCACCGCUUCUUUUAUCCCCCCCUUCACUCCCGCCCAGACCGACCCUUCUCCCCCACUCCCCCGCAACCCGGGUGCAACCGGAUGGCAAAAAUCAAAGCUGGAUCCAAUUUACCCCAGUUGUCUUCCUUUGAACACUCAUAAGGAGUCUGCCCCUGAUUUUAGUGCAAAGGAGCUGCUCUUUGAAAUGGCGUGUCCAGCUUUGGCGUUUGCCUGCUGAGGAAGAGGCCUGCUCUCUUCUCCACUCUUGCUACAAGGAUUUUUCUCUCUCCAAGUAAUUCCUCAGCAUCGCCUUGAAAGACAUCUGCCACACUAGAUAACUUUUUCAAACCACAAGACUGAAACAACUUCCCUUAAUUGAAAUGACUCCAGAACAGCUAUUCCCUAGAAGACAUCCUCCUUGAUUUCUUGCGGGACCUGUAAGAUGACUGAAGUCGUAGGAUGUCUGAAGUAGAAAAGAGUGCCAGAGACACCACAAAACAUGGAGAAUGUUGUCCUGCUUCUGAGGUUCAGAUAUACAACUCAACCAUGGGCAGCUGAGGAUGGACUUUCUGCCUCCAUAGGUUUCUGUGGACAAAGACAUAAUUUUGAGCUGCCAGCAUCCCCAAAGAUGUCAGAAAUGUCAUUCACCUGUACCUCCUUCCUGAUGAAACAUGCUGGAGCCAUAAAUUUGCAUGCUGUUCAAUCAGGACCACGCACAUGUGCAAGUAGUACCUGACUUCUGCAGUCUCCCAUUUACUGUACCACACACCUCCACGCCAGGUCGGAGGAAGACCCCUUUGAAAAUGAGGCGCUUGAUGAUUGCAGAGGGUAAGGAUCUUGCUCUCAUGUCACAGCUUGGCGUUAUGCCUUCAUCAGGGUAUUAGAAAAGGCUCAGGGAAAAUGGUUACAGUUAUUCUAUUGCCUAAGACACUUCCUGCAGCUACUGCCUUUCCUUAGAAUUACCAAUCCAAGUGGUGACCCUGCCUGACCCUACUUAUCUUGUAAAAGCUGACAAGAUCACAGCCUGAAGCAGUAUAGCCACAGGCUCAAUACCGGCUACCAAAAUGUCUGUUUAGUAUUUUCAAGAAAUGCUGCUCUAAAGAUUUACAAUACCAGCUGCUAGAUACACGAACAACACCAGCACACAGCUCUGACCCCUGAACAUUCAGCCCCACUUACACAGAAAUUUGUGUCUCUCAAGAGGCCAACACCGAACUGCUACGAAACAGUGAUUCCCUACCUGCAAGCACACUGGAUUUUUAGCACUAUUUGAUUAUAUAUACUAAGAUAUUAGGUGAAAGUAUUCGAAAACUAGUUUGAGUUCAGAAUUUAUUGUUAGCUUUUUUUCAUCGGUUACAUUACUGCUUUAGCAACAGAAAGAGCUCUGCCAUUUCUGUGUAAUACCUUUUUUUAUUUCAGUGUAGAGAAUUUUCUUCAUCCUUCCAUGACCAAAGUAGUUUUUCAUCAGAAGUUAUUUUUAGAUGAACUCUAAGUUUCUUUCCUAGCAAACAUUUUAGCUGCACUGUAUGAAAGGAAAUGCACAUUUCCCUAGAUAUCUCUAAGGAUAAACACAGGUUUAAAUAUCCAAAAAGAUCUUGGGGAACAAUCUGCUUUAUAUAUAUACAUUCAUGUAGCAGAUGCAGUAAGAGUUCUUGCAGAGUAGUGUGGGUUUUUUUAACCCUUUUCUUUUUAGAACAGCAAAGACAUGGAAAAGACGUUGAGGUCCUGUUGCUCCUGUUGGAAACUUCUGUUGGCUGCAGCAUGAGUUGGAUUGGACCCAGAGAAACUGAAUACACACAAGUAAUGAUGAGUUGGCCAUACAAGCAAGGAAAAUCACAGAUAACAGGUGCACACCAAUUAGCAAUGUACCUUUUAGGUCAUCCAAUACAGCUCCGUGUCACAACGAGAUUGUUUCAUAUGGAACGUUUCAGCUACCUGCAGCCUCAUCCGAUGACGUUUAAUGAUAUCAACUAGCUUGAUCUUCCUCCAUGCACCCAUGCACCAGCAGGGACUUCUUUAAAUUGCUCAACUGUAUGGAACACUGUUUUCAAGUUUAAUGUACUUGGCAUCGACCUUUUAAAGUAAUGGCAUUUCUAAACACAGUUUAAAUACAGUUUAAAUACGUAGCACACACAUAUGUUUGCAUUUAUAUGUGCAUGUGUGUGUACGCCUAUACAUAUAUGUGUAAGUGCACACAUAUGUAUAGAAAUGCUGAUCCUAUUCACCUUUUUAAAAUCAUUACAGCUAGUAUUAACAUGAAUGUGCUGUUAAAUUGGCAGUGUUAUACAUUUUUGUUGGAGUUUACUUCUGUAACAUAAAACCAGAAAGAUAAGCUGUGAAACUCGUGCAGCUGAUGACAUAAUUCUAGAAUCUCAUGAUACUGAAUCUCAUAUUGCUAGGAGUGUGGGAUGGAUGUUCUUUGCUGAAAUAAUUAUACUGUCUCUUGCAAUAUAUGUUUCCUUGUUUUCAUGUGGGUGCUGAGAAGCCCAAACCAUUAAACAUAAAUGGUACAAUGA